CGUGAGCCUGUUGUCGCGCAAUUUCCAGCCCGGGUUCUCGCAUCUACGUCGUCCUGACCGUCGGAUUCUCGCUCGGGAAAAGAAACUGGGCGAGUCCGUGGUGGCGGCCGUGCCGGCUCGCUCGAGAUUCUCGUGGCUCCGCGUUCCUCGCCGAUUCUCCUACCCGCGUCCGCUCGCUCGUCGUCGAUUCACGUCCGACUUGGAUUUGGAGUGCGAGCGAGUGCGACAGUGUAAACCUGUAAAAGCCAGUGCAAUCAUGCAAUGUUGCUGUCGAAGCAGUACUAGCAGUAGCGUUAUUUCCGAUCGUUGCGUUUCCGUUGAUGACGUUGAUGUUGGGGCAAGCGAGAAAGAAGAAUGUCUCCCACUCGCUCCUGUCAGCUCCUGCUGAUACUUUCCCUAUUCGCGGUUUUAACGAGGACUGAUAACAAAUACCCCGCAAUAUAAAGUUACCUCUAAGCUUAGCUUUAGGGCAGUGUGCAUAAAGAUUGAUAAUGAUGUCUAACAUCAAGAUAUACCUAACGUUAACGAAUAUGUGACAUGUCUAGCACUCGUGAUAUCGAACGAGACGAACGUAAUGGGAGAUUCCGCUCACAAAGAAGAGGCAACACAAGCAACGACGUGAACAAGGACAGCUCUGAUGGUUCACAUUGGGGAUUUGGUUUGAUAGGUGGUGCAAUUGGAUUGGUAGUCGGAGGAAUCAUGGCAACACAAUACUGGAAAAAUACACCGGAGCCGGAGCAAAAGGUGGCAUCUCAGUCGUGUCAAUCAUUUGAAACAUCAGGAGAGCGUCGAGAAAGACGUCGAAGACUCAGGGAUGAAGAUCUUAGAGAAGAUCAAACAUGUGUAGUUUGCUUCACAAACGCACGUGAAAUUAUUUUACUACCUUGUGGUCAUGUAUGCAUAUGCAAAGAUUGCUCAGUUAGCAUAAAAAAUAAUUGUCCCAUAUGCAGAAAACAAAUCCUUGAGAGGAGAGCGGCAUAUAUACCAUAAAUUUCAAUUUGAUAUGAAUACAUGUUUCAUAUAGCAAGAAUAUUUUUAUUGUAUUAGAAAGUGAAAACAAUGAUUGAUUAAAGUGAUAUUAUCCCGUA